CGGGUUUGUCUGUCUGCGGUCCCUGCUUUCCCCCUCUCCACGCCCCCUCCCCCCCGCCCGCUUCUCCCUCCUGCCCGGACCCCCAGCGUUUGAAGGCUUCCUAGGACCAGACAGAUGGGACGCCCCUGAAAUGAAGACGUUCCAAAGCAGCUUGGCAACUGGGGUUGGGCAGUGGGUUGCUCUCGUUCUUGCAGGGGAAGGUCCCGCACUCACUAGCUGAAGGGGGAAAUAAUUUCACCUGGUAAAUGCCAGUUCACAUUCAUGAACCAGAGAAACUUGUUAGGACCAGAUGCCAAACCCGGAGGAAAUGUUCCUCUGUGGCUUCCUCCCUGGACUUGAUACCCAACGGUUUAAGGUUGAGGGACAGUCAAGUGGUGAUACAAGAGAAUCUACUAUUUCUAAACUACUUAGUAAGUGCCAGGCACUCUGAGAAGCUCUUUAUGAUCGUUUACCCUCACAAACCCAGGAGGCAGAUCAUAGUAGUAUUCUCAUUUAACUCAUGAGAGAUCCAGAGCCCAUUCUGCCCAGGGUUUGGACUCGAGAGCCUGCCCAGGAGUGAUUUCCCCACAGAAGGGGGUGCGGGCCACCCAAUGAGACACACAAAUAAGAUUGUGCCAGGAGAGCCCACAUUACUCCUUAGACAUUCAGGAUAUUUUGAACCAGCUUAAGACAGUGUCCCCCACUUCUUGUCCAAAUCCAAAGAGGAGACCAAGUUUCAAUCAGGAAGCCUCUUUUUUUUUUUUUUUUUAUCAAUUGUUUUUUGUUUUCAGAACUGGAGUGGAAAUGACCCAGUUAGGAAGGAAAAUGAGCACAGCUUGGCUUAGUCACACAAUUAAAACAUGUAAGCUGGCCAAAGGUACACACUCCUCCUCCCCUCCCUCUAGAGAGAGAAGGGCCCUGUUUGACCUGGAAGCUUAUUAAAGCAUUCCACUGGAGAAUUCCCUGACCCUUCUGAAGGGACACUGUGAGAACUUUGUUCCUUAGAAUGCACCCACACAGAGAGUUUUGUGCAAAUACCAAGCCAUUAUUCUAUAAAUGCAAAGAAGCAUUAGGGAUGGUAUGUGAACAAAAGCUGGACAGAGGAUGCACGCCCAGAUGCUGUCUUUGGCCAGGUUACAAUCUGAAUGAUCUCAUGUUUUCUGGCUCCUUCUUGCUUUGCUUUCCCAAUUUGGUUUGAAUAUUUGCAUUACUGUAUUAUUUUCCCUGUACAAUUGACGUUGUCUGUACACAAUUAGGUCAUUUUCAUAGUUGGGUGAGGAGACACUUUAGACAUGAGAUGGGGUCCAGCUGGUAGCUGGCUCCUCCUGGGGCGUGCAUGUAGAUUCCCAUCUACUUGUCCCAAAGACUCUACCUGCACCCAGGAUCUGAAAGGUUCAAUGUAGGUCACCCAACCAAGUGGAAAGAACUAUGACAUCCCUUUGUAAUGGUGGGUAAGCACAUCUUGUUUCUCUAGGUUUUGAGUUGAUUUGCUGAUCAUACUGUUACUUGGGCCAAUUCUAAUUCUCUUUUGCUAUGCUCCAGACAAAGGGAAGAACUAUUUCCUGGUGGCCUGUGGCUUCUUGGAUUGUGGAAGGUUUGCUGAAGCAGACCCUGGACAUGGGACAAGGAAAGGGAAACACAGGAUAUUUGGUCACCUUCUAUGUGCCAGAUACUGGAAGUUACAGAUGUGGAGGAUGCUGGAGUUACAACAAGUGAAUAAGGAUCCUGCUGACACAGAGCUCACUUUGCAGUCUGAAGAGGAACACCAAUGAUAAAACGUGACAGGUGCCACGUGAAGGGAAAUCUACAUUCAAGCAUUUAGUGAUGGCUUAAUCAUGAGGUGGCUAAGCCUCAAAGAGAUGAAUACCUUGUUCAAGCUCUCACAGAUGGCUGAUGACAGGGUUGGAACCAAAGAGGUCUUUUAGGAAUAGAACUUGGCUUCUUGCCGCCACCUCCUUCCUUAGGCUGCCCAGAGUCUUCUCAUCCAUUUACACAUAGUUCAUACUUCUCCCAAGACUGAGCUAUUCCCACUGAAGUCAAAUUCAUAUUUAUCACUAAAUCCAGAUGUCUGCUCUAUCUCUCUUUAAGAAUUGACAUGCUGAUAAAUUGAGCUGAUGGAUGUAAAAGUGCUUUGUGAGCUGAACUGCAAUAAAAAUCUAAAUACCAAAAGUA